GUAAUUCUUUCCCACACCUCAGGGGCUGAACAGGGGAAUGCAGCUUCUUGAGGUGCUCAGUGUGGAGAGUGUGUUUGUUUUUUUUUUUUAGAAACGGAUCUAGAGAGCUAAAAUGCAAAUUAAGGCCAAACAUAUUAGCCUGCAUCUAAGAUGAGCCUCCAAGAGCUCCAGCAGUUACACACACCCAGACAUCCAUGGGUAUCCAUAUUUUUGCCAGACAAGCUGUGUAGGCUCUGGGAGUUGCACUCAGCCUGGUCAGAGCCACUGCAUUUAUAGAUAAGCCUCUCUGCCACUUGGGAUCCCUCAUUCAGAGCCUGCCUGUGGGGCUGAUUUGUGAAAUUUGUAAGGAUGAGUAAGAUUCAGUCAUUAAUAGGAGGUCAGCAAAAAGGACAGAACUUGUAUCCCUACCUGUCAUUGAAAAUUACAGUAGGUUGCAGAAGAGAGUAUUGUUAUUGAACAGCCUGGAGGCCCUCGCUGAGCUGUGAGAAAUGAGCUCAGCACCAUUUGCACACAAAAGGAGCUGCAGUUCACAUUUUUUCCGGACAGCAAACCAUUAAACUCUGCAGCUCUCCUGCUAAAGGGACCCCUUCACCCUUCUCUGUGACAACCAUGAAGCCAUGGUGUUCCAAUAAGCUAUGCAUGGGGCCAGGAGGGCCUGGCACUGUGGUCUCAUCAUAAGAGAGAUUUCCCUUUAGGGCAUGUAAAAGUUUUGUUUCUGGUUACUCAGACAGAAGCUGCUGCUGUAUUUUGUGUGGGUGCUGGGAAAGCAAAGGUAUUUGUACAAGAGCAGACUCAGAGUCCCUGUCUGCAGCCCUAUGUUGCUGUUGUGGGGUAAGCUUCCCUGGAGAAUGGCACAGACAUUUAAUUUCAAAGCAGAUUUGGUCUAUAAUUUGGCGUUUGGAUGGUGCUAACAUCUGGAGAAGCUUCUCAGCUGUUCUUCCAUGUGAAUGUUGUCCAUGGCAGCUGCAGGCAUUGGAGCCUUUCCCUGCACAGAGGAUGUAAGGACUCGACUCUGGUUUGCAAAUUCCAUUCCUGCAGCUGAACACCUCCUGCACCAUCAAAUGGAGCAGCCAUCCCACAAGCCUCAGCACAAUACACUAGGGCUGUCACUGUAAUGUUCAAAUAAACUGAGCCAUGGGUUAAGGCUGUAACACCAUAGACCCUAGGAGAUGUGAUUUGCAAGAUAAUGUAGUUACUAUAAAAUGGAAGAGCAUUCUUGGCAUUUUAUAGAGAUAAACAUUGCAACUUGGCAUUCUUGAGACAUGAAUUUGUGCCUGAAAAUAAUAUUGCAGCUCCUUUUAAUCAAUACUUCCUUGUUUUUGGAGCUGCCUAUAAGCUGUACCUUUUCUUUCAAUUUGAAGCUACCAGACAACUCAGCUGAAAUUCCCUUCCUUGCAUUAUCAAACCACAAGUUCACUCUUCAAAAAGCAAAUGUUUGUAAUAUUCUGUGCAAGCUACAGGAUUAAAUUCUCAUAGUUUGUGUUCCUCCAACAAUGGAGGACACAAAUAUGCCCUUUGUAUUAGUAUUAGUAUUUACUGGUUUUCUAUUUAACCAAAAUGAUUUUUCAGCCACUUGCUUGCAGGUUCAAGGCAUCCAUUACUAAGAAUUAGACAUAUUUGACUUGAACCUACAGUAGCUAAAUGCAAAAAGUGUAAUAAACUCUGUUCCUUCACAGUGCUGGGAAAAACUCCAAAGGUCUGGAUUGAAGAGAGGAGAUGUAAUGCCCAUACAUGGGGGUAAAAAUAGCAUGAGAGACUGAUUGGGAAUCAUAUAUUCAGCCUACAACCAUUAAAGGGCAGCAGACUGGUUCAGAUUCUUUCUUAGGAGGAGGGGGUAGAGAGCCCUGAGAAGCGUCUGGGUUAUGAAGAGAUUUCUGGAGUGGGAAUGCUUUAUCAAUCCCUACUGCUGAGUGCCCUGGGACCUUUUUUUGAAGCAAAUCAGUUUUCACCUGGCAGAAGUGGAUGAGAAGGGUGGUUUGAAUUCUGUCACUGCAGCUGGCACUGCUGACUGACUGCUGCCUUUGGAGUCAGACAGAAAAGAGGAGCUGAUGCAAAGUGUGUUUUUUGAACCAUCACCCUUUGUCAGAAGCCAUUGAUUCCCUAAACACCAUCAGUGUGAUGGAAACAAACGUGAGCUCCUUUGCUCUGCUUUUAUUAACUGCUAACGAGCUUUGUGAAAGCCAGCAAAAGGGUGUUACCAGUUUAGGACUCUGCCAAGGCAGCAAGGUGGAGCUGCAUGUGGGAAUGAAGCCUUGUUUAAUCAGGUUUUGUAACUACUUUGAUACAAUUUUAGCUGAAGCGUGUUCAGUCAAGCAGUUCCUGGUUUAAUGCACAUACUGUUUCAAAUUUAGUAGCAGGUUUCAGAAUUUAUCGAAUUCCUCUUCAAUAACCACU